CGGAAACGACUUGUGUCUUGUACGUACUACAGUAUAUCGUCCGGGGGUCCAUGUUUUUGUACGGACGAGCACCCCACAUCCACUUCAAUUAUUUUUAUCCCUCCGAAUCUUUUUUUUUUUUUUUUUUAUUAAAAGCUUUUAUAUAAAUAACAUCGGAUGAUUUAGAAUUGUAACCAUAUCUUAUAUUCUAUAUAUUAGAAAUG
rnacentral:lncRNA from 1 species